rnacentral:rRNA from 1 species
GAUGAACGCUAGCGGCAGGCUUAAUACAUGCAAGUCGAACGGUAGGUCUCUUCGGAGAUACACGAGUGGCGCACGGGUGCGUAACGCGUAUGCAACCUACCUUUAACUGGGAAAUAGCCCCGAGAAAUCGGGAUUAAUGUCCCAUAUUAUUUUCUGAAAGCAUUUUCGGGAAAUGAAAGCUCCGGCGGUUAUUGAUGGGCAUGCGUGACAUUAGCUAGUUGGUGAGGUAACGGCUCACCAAGGCAACGAUGUCUAGGGGUCCUGAGAGGGUUAUCCCCCACACUGGUACUGAGACACGGACCAGACUCCUACGGGAGGCAGCAGUAAGGAAUAUUGGGCAAUGGACGCAAGUCUGACCCAGCCAUGCCGCGUGAAGGAUGAAUGUCCUAUGGAUUGUAAACUUCUUUUAUGCAGGAAAAAUAUCCCGGUCGUGAACCGGGACUGAUGGUACUGUAUGAAUAAGCAUCGGCUAACUCCGUGCCAGCAGCCGCGGUAAAAC